UACGUAGGGUGCGAGCGUUAAUCGGAAUUACUGGGCGUAAAGCGUGCGCAGGCGGUUCGUCGUGUCUGAUGUGAAAGCCCCGGGCUCAACCUGGGAAUGGCAUUGGAAACUGGCGGACUAGAGUGUGGCAGAGGGAGGUGGAAUUCCGCGUGUAGCAGUGAAAUGCGUAGAGAUGCGGAGGAACACCGAUGGCGAAGGCAGCCUCCUGGGAUAACACUGACGCUCAGGCACGAAAGCGUGGGGAGCAAACAGG
rnacentral:rRNA from 1 species